rnacentral:rRNA from 1 species
CAGCCGCCGCGGUAAUACGAGGGGGGCAAGCGUUGUUCGGAAUUAUUGGGCGUAAAGGGUGCGUAGGCGGUUUGAUAAGUCUUGUGUGAAAUCUAUGGGCUCAACCCAUAGUCUGCACAGGAAACUGUCGGGCUUGAGAGUGGGAGAGGUGAGUGGAAUUUCCGGUGUAGCGGUGAAAUGCGUAGAUAUCGGAAGGAACACCUGUGGCGAAAGCGGCUCACUGGACCAUUUCUGACGCUGAUGCACGAAGGCUAGGGGAGCAAACAGGAUUAGAUACCCCCGUAGUCCCUGUCUCUUAUAC